rnacentral:rRNA from 1 species
GACGAACGCUGGCGGCGUGCUUAACACAUGCAAGUCGAACGCUGAAGCUCAGCUUGCUGGGUGGAUGAGUGGCGAACGGGUGAGUAACACGUGAGUAACCUGCCCUCUUCUUUGGGAUAACGCCCGGAAACGGGUGCUAAUACUGGAUAUUCACUGAUUCUCGCAUGGGGGUUGGUGGAAAGGUUUUUUCUGGUGGGGGAUGGGCUCGCGGCCUAUCAGCUUGUUGGUGGGGUGAUGGCCUACCAAGGCUUUGACGGGUAGCCGGCCUGAGAGGGUGACCGGUCACAUUGGGACUGAGAUACGGCCCAGACUCCUACGGGAGGCAGCAGUGGGGAAUAUUGCACAAUGGGCGAAAGCCUGAUGCAGCGACGCCGCGUGAGGGAUGGAGGCCUUCGGGUUGUAAACCUCUUUCGCUCAUGGUCAAGCCGCAGCUUUGGGUUGUGGUGAGGGUAGUGGGGAAAGAAGCGCCGGCUAACUACGU